rnacentral:sRNA from 1 species
CUGUAGGUGAAGUCAAUUUAAAAGUACAAAAGAUUCAAAAGGAAAAAUCCACCCUGGAAACAACAAUUGAUCAAUUACGUUUGAAAGUGCAAAAUAUGGAACAGGAAAAAUUUACACUGGAAACUAAAAUUGGAAAUAUGCAGACAACUGUUGAGACGUUUGUAGAUAGAUCAGAAAAAUGGAAUGAAAAAG